rnacentral:rRNA from 1 species
CCUACGUGUGGCUGCAGUGAGGAAUAUUGGUCAAUGGGCGCGAGCCUGAACCAGCUAAGUCGCGUGAAGGAUGACUGCCCUACGGGUUGUAAACUUCUUUUAUCAAGGAAUAAAGUGAGGCACGUGUGCCUUUUUGUAUGUACUUUAUGAAUAAGGAUCGGCUAACUCCGUGCCAGCAGCCGCGGUAAUACGGAGGAUCCGAGCUUUAUCCGUCUUUAUUGGGUUUAAAGGGAGCGUAGAUGGGUUGUUAAGUCAGUUGUGAAAGUUUGUGGCUCAAACGUAAAAUUGCAAUUGAUACUGGCAGUCAUGAGUACAGUUGAGGUAGGCGGAAUUCGUGGUGUAGCGGUGAAAUGCUUAGAUAUCACGAAGAACUCCGAUUGCGAAGGCAGCUUACUAAACUGCCACUGACAUUGAUGCUCGAAAGUGUGGGUAUCAAACAGGAUUAGAUACCCGUGUAGUC